rnacentral:rRNA from 1 species
GACGAACGUUGGCGGCGUGCUUAAUACAUGCCAGUCAACUGAAGCAGUGGUAGCAAUAUCGCUGUGGAGGUGGCGCACGGGUGAGUAACACGUAGGUAAUCUGCCUUCAGGUCUGGCAUAACUCCGGGAAACCGGGGCUAAUAGCAGAUGAUGCAGCGGCUCGACAUCGAGACAGUUGUUAAAGCUAUGGCGCCUGAAGAUGAGCCUGCGUCUGAUUAGGUAGUUGGCGGGGUAACGGCCCACCAAGGCAACGAUCAGUAGCUGGUCUGAGAGGAUGAUCAGCCACACUGGAACUGAGACACGGUCCAGACUCCUACGGGAGGCAGCAGUAAGGAAUAUUGCUCAAUGGGAGAAAUCCUGAAGCAGCAACGCCGCGUGAGGGACGAAGGGCUUUUGCUUGUAAACCUCUGUAGUGAGAGAAAAAAAUCCCAAUCUUUGGGACAUGAUGGUAUCUCAAAAGUAAGCCCCGGCUAACUACGUG